CCUCCUGUACGAGAUGCAGGAAACCAAUGCUGUGCUUCAAAGACAAAACAGGACGUGGUUCUACAAGCUUUGAAAAAAACCUCAGAGUUUACAAACAGUGUGAAAGAAACUUAAGUCCUGCGUGCACCAAUAGAUGAACAAUGAGCAACAAACCAGUUCCCCGUGAAGUGAUAAUGGAUGAAAGAGCAAAGGAUUUUACCAAAAGACGACAAGAAAGGUGGCUCUUGAACCUUUCGCUGUGAUGGAAGAGAGCCGAGUCGAAGAAUGCUCGAGUUUGAAAUGAUCACUUCGGGAAAGAGAAUAGUCAUCCAGCUUGUAUGGGUUCCUGCCCACAGUGGAGUGAAAGGCAAUGAAGAAGCAGACAAGCUAGCAAAGGAAGCUGUCAAAAAUGAAGAAGUCCAGCUGAAUAUUCCUCUUAGUCGUACAGAAAUCAAGGUAUUAAUCAAACAUAAGGUAAAUAAACUCUGGCAAGCAGAUUGGGACAAGGAGAAGAAGGGAAGACAUUUGUACAGCAUACAAAAAGAAAUAUCAAGCAGCAAAUCAAGUUACUCAGGAAGACAAGAAGAGGUAUGGUUCACACGUAUGAGAAUAGGGCACACUGGAUUAAAUAGCAGCAUACAUAUUAUUCAUAAGCAUCCCACUGGCAUGUGUGAGUUUUGUGGAGUUAGAGAAGAUGUGGAGCAUGUAUUAUUAAGAUGUGUAAAAUACUCAAGACAAAGACAAGGCCUUAAGAGAAUAGUUGAGGCAACCAAAAAGGUUUUCUCUUUAGAGACCCUACUGGGGGAGCCUAGAUCAAGGCAUAUCACUAAUGCAGUAGCAACUUUUAUUAAAGACACUAAGAUAGCUGAUCGCAAGAAGGUCCUGGGUUCGAGCCCCGGGGCCGGCGAGAGCCUUUCUGUGUGGAGUUUGCAUCUUCUCCCCGUGUCCGCGUGGGUUUCCUCCGGGUGCUCCGGUUUCCCCCACAGUCCAAAGACAUGCAGGUUAGGUUAACUGGUGACUCUAAAAUUGACCAUAGGUGUGAAUGUGAGUGUGAAUGGUUGUCUGUGUCUAUGUGUCAGCCCUGUGAUGACCUGGCGACUUGUCCAGGGUGUACCCCGCCUUUCACCUGUAGUCAGCUGGGAUAGGCUCCAGCUUGCCUGCGACCCUGUAGAAGGAUAAAGCGGCUAGAGAUAAUGAGAUGAGAUGAGAUAGCUGAUCGCAUUUAAUCUUCUCUGUUUUUUUUUUUAAUAAUGUCCGCGUGAUUACACCCCAGUCCAGUAGUUGGCGGUAAUACACUGUUUGUCAACUGCCAUAAAACUUAACAGAAAAAGAGGAAGACCCCUUCGCAGUAAACGUCAUUCAUGCGUAAGAGGAAAUUGCGCACGCAGCCUGGACCCAAAGAAGACUCAGAAAUGCCUAGUUGUUGUGUUGUCGGGUGUCAGAAUCGUAGCAGUGAUGGGGUUAAAAUGUUCAGAAUUCCAGCAGGAUCUCACCCAUUCCAAAAAAAUCGCCGACGUCUAUGGCUACAAGCCAUCAAACUUGUAGACUGGGAUGAAAGCACCAUCAAAAAUGCGCGGGUUUGCAGCGCCCACUUCAUCACAGGUAAGAUCAGGCUAUUUAUUAAAUCUUUCUUUUUUAUUCUUUCUAGUCUUCGUUUAUUGAUGUAGCAAAAUACUUUGGUAACGUUUGUCUGAUUAGCUGGGUCAUAGUUACACAAUGUAAUGAAUAUUGUUAGCAUGUUAACUUUGCUUUGCAUGCAAUUUUGUUUGUAGGAGAGGUCUCGCUUGACUCAAGCAGUCCAGAUUUUGUGCCAUCAUUAUUUGUGCAUGCCGAAAAUCACAAUUUUAAAGCAGGGAUGGAAAGGUAAAAUUGUGUGCCCUCACUCUAAAUGCCAACUUGCGUUGAUUGCGCUAACCUAGCUCCCGCCCCAUUCAGUUUCAUUUCUGCUCUCUGCCUCUCGCUUUUUACGCAGCUCUGAUUUCUCUUAGCUGCACUCUUUACACUAUCAUUCCUUUCAUGCCAUUACCUCCUGCAAAUUGCUGUUUAGUGUUGGUAUUUGCUAUUGUAGCUAAAGCCACAUUGCCAUCACAUCACUGGCAUAAUUUGAUUAAAACAAAAUGAAUAUGAAUGUCCCAUUGUUAAUCAAGUUGUACAUGCCCGCCAGGGGCGUUGCACCAAAUUCUGGGCCCUAUGCACAAGCAGUGGCCAUGCCCCCCCUCCAAAAAAAAAAAAAAGCUCACCAGUUAACAAUGCUGAAAGUAUCUAACAACAAGGGCGUACUACCAGUCCAGUCAGUUACAGUGGCGCCUCCAGAAAUAUUUCAUAGGGGUGGCCAGAUGGGGACACUUAAAAUCUUGGGGUGGCACACCAAAACUAAAAGCCAUAAUUUCAGGAUAUCAUUAUACUGUUGUAGUAAACCGGCCAGUAGAAAACUAUCAGAAAGACUUAAGGAAAUGCCUACUGAUAUACUUUGGUUUAUUGUGUUAUAUUUAAUGUUACUAAUGAUCUGUUAUUGAUGCUGGCUGUGUAUCCUGCUCUGUCUUUUCCUCUACUCCGUCCUCCUCCUCCUCCUUCUCCUCCUCACUAAGCCUCUGUUGCUCCCCUGCCGUCUCCUUUCUCUCCUGUUCUAAUAUUUUUCUUAAAAUAAGAAGAGAUGUCUGUGGACUUUCUCUUCAUUGUCUGAAAAUGACUGACAUAACAUACAAUCAGCAGCUAAUGUUAGCUACGUAACUCAGUUAUACAUGUCAAAAAGCUGCUGUAACAGCACUAUUUAGCACUUAAAAAGCACAUGUUACGACGCAUACUUCCCCCUCUUCUUUUACUAAAGAAUAUUUUGACUUAUUUACUUACUGGUAGUCUUCUCCGUCUUCUCUCUUAACUCCUUUUGAGGUCAUUAUUUACCUGUGUAGGUACAAGCGGUGGUCACACACUGAGCCGUUGCUAUAGGAGCGCGCAAAAGCGGCAGAGGGGAGGGGCUGCUGUGAGUGAGGGAAGAUGAUCUUCCCUCACUCACCGAAGAUCAAGAGCGUCUUGCCUGGCUGGCUGUGCAUUUGGGAUGAACUGCAUAACUGAGGCUACUACAAUCUAUACUGGCCAGUGGGGUGGCCAGUAAAUUUGUAGGGGUGGCCACAGCCCCCCCUGGCCACCCCCUGGCGGCGCCAAUGGUCAGUUACUGUACAUAGCCACACAUUAAUCUAACAACUCUUAAAUGAAUAAAACCCCCUAAUCACACAAUACGUCACUGAAUCUUUGUUUUAUUUGCAGAAUGAUUAAAAGUUGUAACAGUAAAUGCCACCAAAAGUCACCAAACAUAAUAGGCCUGCAUGAAAAUUGAGCACCUUUGCAUUGGGCUGAAGAGAACAGAUUUUUAUCAAGUAGCUUUAUUACACAAAAGAAAUGCCAUUUCCAGAUUUCUACAUUAACAAAAUACUUCCUUUAGAAUGAAAGGUAAACAAAACUUGACUCUCUUGUCAUUUUUCAUUUUAAAAAGGGCAAAAAGAAAACAGGCUUCCACAAAGUGCUAAACACUGGAAUUUAUACCCCAGCUAUUAGCCUAAUUAUGUUAUGGCCCAAUAUAAUUUAAUUUUCGAUUAGUAUUCUAUUGCAAUGCCGAGAAAAAAGUCAUCAUGUUAUUUCUAAUUUUGUGUUGUGCAGUUUUUAGCACUGACAAUCGCGGUGGUAUUGAAGCAUUUAUAACCGCGGGUGUUCAUUUAAUGUAGGCUAUUUGCUUUCACACUUGGGCUCACCUUUCUUGGGAAAGAAGUUUGUGAGCAGUUGCUUUCCCUCAUUUCUUUUCUUGUCUCUUUCCUGCCUCUCUUUUCGUUUCUAAAAACCGGAUUUUGUUUUCUUGUGCAUCAUCUUCCAUAGCACAGAUAGCCUACAACGCGCAGUGCUGCUUCAGCAGAAUGAACGCUACGUUAAAUGCGCUUAGUUAAAAAGCCCGGUGAAAGCGGACUAAACCAUAUCGUGCAAAGGGUGGGGGGGCCUGUCCCCAGACACUAUAUGUAGGCUAGGACAAACAAUUCAAUCCAUUAAUCAAACGAUUUAUUUACUCAAAACAUUACAGUUACAUUAGUUAGCAACAUAUAUUGUGAUCUUUAAAUGGUAUUGAUAUUUUAAAGGAAAAUAAAAUUACAGACUCCUCAAGGGCCCUCCCCCCACUUGGGGCCCUGGUAACUCAGUCCCCCUUUUCCCCCCACUACGACGCCCCUGAUGCCCGCACAUAACAUAAUCAUAUGCGUCUAAAGACUUGUAGGCACGAAGUUUUUCGUGGGUGUACGUUGAAGUCUUGUCAGUAAGGUACGAGUAUAUAUCUGGCCAUUGUAUACCAGGGAACUUACUAACAUCGCCCGUCCACUCUUUAAUUAAAUACGGAUCCGGUAGGCCAGGGCUUUUCAAAGUGUGGGGCGCGCCCCCCCUGGGGGGCGCCAGAGUUCUUCAGGGGGGGCGCAACGUGAGAGACAAAAUGGAUCGGUUUUUAGCUGUCUAUGGUUUUUAGUACCUAAAGCUACAGUGAGUGAGGAGACAAAGGCUACGUUCACACUGCAAGGCUUAAUGCUCAAUUCCGAUUUUUUUGUGAGGUCGUUCACAUUAACAAACAUAUGCGACUUGUAUGUGAUCCUCAGUAUGAACGAAAAGCGACCUAAAAGUGUUCCGCAUGCGCAUUGCAGGAUACGACGACGUCACACGCAGUGAGCAUGGCCAGUGUUUACGGAAGUAAAACCGCCCGGUUGCGGUAUAACCCAUCCAAUCUAGCUUGAAUACCUGUAUCCCCCCAAAUGGAAAUCAGCUCCGUAACCUCUGCGUCCUUCCAUUGAGAAGAUUCAGAACCUUCACAGCCCGAAGCGUCCCUCGCAUUGAUGUCAUGCGCAGGGGCGCAGAUACGUUUUUUGAACUGGGAGGGACAAAAAACUGGGGGGGACAAAGCUGCCAGCAAACCAACCCCAAUAUGCCUGUCAAACUUGUUGUUAGUAACCAUAGCAACCAAGCUCGAGCUCGCAACCUGUGCAGUCUGCGCAGCUCAACCAACCGAAUAUCAGUCUUUGUUUUGUUUUAUGUGAGUUGUUGCAACUAUGUAUACACUGCUGUGCACCUCAAUAAACCGAAUGGUAAUUAGUCUUUUGAUUUUUCCGUGAGGUUUGCCUUAUGCAAAGAAAGACAGCAUAGACGUUUUUUCCUCCCUAUAAGUGGGGGGGGGGACCGAAUGAGGUGAAUUUAAAUCUGGGUGGGACGAGUCCCCCCCCUCUAUCCGCGCCCGUGAUUAUGCGCCAUGUUGUUGUAACUUUUUUGAGAGACGCGCCGCCUACUUCAGCGCAGAAUAGUGACGUUUGUGGCUUGUUGAUGACGUGUAAGUCGGAUGAAUGCGACCUGGCGGUUCAGACUGAAGUCGCAUAUGAAAAGAGCGGAUAGGAAUCGAAAUUAGGACCACAUAUCCAAACAGCCUGGGUCGGAUUUGAAAAAAUCGGAUCUGUGUCGUUCAUAUUGUCAAUAAAAGAUCGGAUACAGGUCACAUAUGGGCGAAAAGAUCGGAUUUGAGUCACUUCAGCCUGCAGUGUGAACCCACCCAAAGUCUGGGCCAAGCAAAAAAACAGAGCCUCCAGGAUGUUGUGAUUUGCAACUUCAGCGCAAAUUCAACCAAUCCCUGCGAAUUCAGGGUGGUGUUGCAAUUAUAUCCAAUCACCGCAACUUUCCCGCAAAUUUGACCAAUCGUUGGCGUCGUCUUGAGGUGACGUCGACAAACUACCUUCCGCCUUACUUCCGUGUGUUCAAGAGAAGCAGCAUGCGCGUCAUGUUGCCAGAUUGGAUGAUUUCAAGUGUAUUUUGGCGGGUUUUGAACAUAUUUUGGACUGGAAAACGUCAGCAGUAUCUGGCAACAUGGAAAGUGUGUUAUGUUUACAGUGAAGGACUGUGUGCACUUUAUUUUUUUUUUUACUUAAUACAAGAAGUUAAUGGAUGCCAACAUUUUUGCCAAAAUGGUAUUUUAUUUUCCAUUGUUUAGGCAGCUUCAGCAUCAUACUGUGAGAUUCUGUUCAAAUUGUUUUUUUCUUCUAUGAAGCCUGAGCCAUUUAUUUUAUUAGUUUAUAAUUAUUGUUUAAUUUAGUCUUCAGGAGAGACUGCCUGCACACAGUACUAGUAUUAAUAGUUUUUUUUUCUUACAUGAAAGCUGAGGCAUUUAUAUUAUAUUUUAAGGUAACUUCAUGUUGUGCUGUGAGGUUCUCUGCACUUUAACUUUUGAACCAACAGGUGCAUUUGGAUAAGUCAAGCCUAUUUUUCUGCAUUUUUGUAGUCCUGGUAAUCUUUUAUAUUGGUAAAGUUGUUUAUAGGACCAUUUCUCAGUGUUUUUUUUUUUUAAUCAAUAGUUUUUCAGUAAUAGCUUAAUAUUUAACAUAUCACUCGAUUUUAAUCACAAAAAGAGAAAAUCGCAACAAUUUCUCGCAACUUUCACUUCCUCCCGCAAUGUAAUCGCAACAAAAACCUAAAAAACACCGCAGCUUUCAUCGCAAUUUUUUGGAAAACCCCCGCAACAUCAGACAUUUUAGCCCGCAACAAUCACAAAAAAGGCCCGCGGAAUCCUGGGGGACUGGAAAAAGAAGGAAGUAUGACCACGAUUAUUUAAAGUUUGGAUUUUCAUGGACUGGAUCUGAAGAUGCUCCACUGCCACAGUGUGUUGUCUGCCAAGAGGUGCUAGCUAACGAUGCUAUGGGAUGUUUAAAAUGUGUAAAACAAGAUGUUUUAAAAAGCACAGAUGUUUAAAAUGUGAAAAAGAAAAAAAUAAUGUGUACAACAACCAUUUUUUUUUUAAAUACGAAUGGAACAUUAAGUAUAGCAACAACAAAAAUUGUAAGGGGGGGCGCUGUUGUUUAUUUGCUCUCCGAGGGGGGGCUGACUCUCCCACACUUUGAAAACCCCUGCGGUAGGCGAUGUCCACUUGUUAGAGUUAUUUAUGUAGCGUUCUCGAUCUUGUAACGACAAUUGUUUUGCAUAAUCUGACAGCUCAUAAUGCUGGUCUAUGGGCAGCGCCAUUGUUUCUGGGUCCAGGCUGCGCGCGCAUCCUGGCAACGGUUGGUUUGUUUACAAACAUGUGAAGGGGUCUAUAUUUCUGCAUAAACAGGGCUCUCAAGUUUUGAAUGCAGGCAAGAGUGACAUCCCCCACUCCCACGUUGGCGGGCCGGUUGGACAGGUCGCAGGAAUGGGGGUCUUUCAUUAAUAAUAAUAUUAUUAGUGUUGUUAUUAAUAACUGCUCAGACUUGCAGAAGAAAGGAUAAACACACGGCACUGACAAUUCAACCAAAUACAAAGUCUUUAUUCAAUUUCCGUGUAUUGAAUAAGUGUGUGUGUGAGAGAGAGAGAGAGAGAGAGAGAGAUUAUGACUGGUGUUGUUUAUUGUAAGGGUUUGUUGCCUUUUUGGAGUCCUUCAUCAUUUGUGUUGUUGGCUCCCACUCAAGUCCAGCCAUUUUCAGGGUCAUGAUAGAGGCCAAUGUCCCGUCCAGAGACAAGCUUUUUCGGGUUGAGGUUUUGUUCAGACUGACCAUUGAAAAUACCCUCUCGGCAUCAGCAUUUGAAUGAGGAAGCACCAAAACCAAGGUUGUUAUCUUUGAUAACCUCCCAAAUUGGUUCAAGCCAGUAACCUUUGAAAAAGGAACCAAGGGCCUCUAUUACUUAAAUGUUUUCCUUUUAUCUUAAUAAUGAGCAAGUCAUGUUGUGUGCAAAAAAUGUCUUAAUUUGUUCUUUUUUGAGGACAUUCUUCCCCCAAACUCCUCAACGUCAAAGGAUGUUGGGUCCUGUAAUCUGUAAUAGUUGGACUUUCCUCUUCCCUAUAUCUUCCCCUGGAGUCAUGCAGUUUCUAUAUUAUGAACAAUAAAAACUUAAUCUUUCACAAA